rnacentral:rRNA from 1 species
UACGGGGGGGGGCAAGCGUUUGUUCGGAAUUACUGGGCGUAAAGGGCUUGUAGGUGGCCAACUAAGUCAGACGUGAAAUCCCUCGGCUUAACCGGGGAACUGCGUCUGAUACUGGAUGGCUUGAGUUUGGGAGAGGGAUGCGGAAUUCCAGGUGUAGCGGUGAAAUGCGUAGAUAUCUGGAGGAACACCGGUGGCGAAGGCGGCAUCCUGGACCAAUACUGACACUGAAAAGCGAAAGCCAGGGGAGCAAACGGG